UCAGUUCGGAUUGGAGUCUGCAACUCGAUCCAUGAAGCUGGAUUCGCUAGUAAUCGCGCAUCAGCCAUGGCGCGGUGAAUACGUUCCCGGGCCUUGUACACACCGCCCGUCAAGCCAUGGAAGCCGGGAGUGCCUGAAGUGUGCAACCGCAAGGAGCGCCCUAAGGUAAAACUGGUGACUGGGGCUAAGUCGUAACAAGGUAGC
rnacentral:rRNA from 1 species